rnacentral:rRNA from 1 species
CCUACGGGUGGCAGCAGUGGGGAAUAUUGGGCAAUGGGCGCAAGCCUGACCCAGCAACGCCGCGUGAAGGAAGAAGGCUUUCGGGUUGUAAACUUCUUUUCUGAGGGACGAAGAAAGUGACGGUACCUCAGGAAUAAGCCACGGCUAACUACGUGCCAGCAGCCGCGGUAAUACGUAGGUGGCAAGCGUUAUCCGGAUUGCUUGGGUGUAAAGGGCGUGUAGGCGGGAAAGCAAGUCAGAUGGGAACACUCAGGGCUCAACCCUGAGCCUGCAUUUGAAACGGUUGUUCUUGAGUGCUGGAGGGGCAAUCGCCAUUCCGUGUGUAGCGGUGAAAUGCGGUGAUAUACGGAGGAACACCAGUGGCGCCGGCGUCUUGCUGGACAGUAACUGACGCUGGGGCGCGCACGCGUGGGGAGCAAACAGGAUUAGAUACCCGGGUAGUC